UGAACGUUCAAAUGUGAAGUGAUAUCACCUCUCCUUUUAUUGAUGAACUUCAAACUAUUACAGAAGAAGAAUUGGUGGGAAUAGGAAGAAGGGGAAAUAAGAAUGCAGGAAAAGUGGGAAAGGAUAGCAGAAGGGAUAUUCCCUCUGUUGCUGGAAUAACAAAUCUUAACCAAUAGAUAGCUAACCUAUUACAUGAUCGUAUCUUUUAUAGAAGCUACUCUAACUAACUUCUUAAAGUAACUAAUGAGGGAUUGACACGUGUAGGUAGCAUCUUCUAGCUCGAUGGAAUCCAGUUUCAGCAAGAACAGCAUGAACCCCAGUGAAGGCGUGAUCGUUGGAAUGCGCCUUCACCUAUUCUUCUGCGACUUCUCUUUUCUUAACUUCGCGUCUUCUUCUUCCUUGUACGGCUAGCUGUUGGUUCUUAAUCAGAUCGCAACUUUUCUUGACAUCUUCCUCCUAUUGACAUGCCUUCCCUUGUCUUGCCUUCACACCUUCUACUACUGAGCUACUGACUUCAUCACAAUUUCUUCCACCUUUCCCUUGGCCCCUUUUCUUCUUCUUUUUCCUACGAAACCCUCUUUUCUAUUUUUUCCUCGCCUCCCUUUUGGUUUCUUACCCGCAGCCUUUUCUUCAUCAGCCUCUCUCUGCUGCCCUAAACUUCCCUCACUCUCCCUCUUUUGUUCCAGAUCCUUCUCCUCCAGUUGCCCGCAGCUUUUUCUUUUGCUUCUAUCCUCCUUCCUCC
rnacentral:lncRNA from 1 species